AGUAACGCGUGAGGAACCUGCCUCAGAGAGGGGGAUAACACACCGAAAGGUGUGCUAAUACCGCAUAACAUAUGAGAGGGGCAUCCCUUUCAUAUCAAAGAUUUAUUGCUCUGAGAUGGCCUCGCGUCCAAUUAGCUAGUUGGUGAGGUAACGGCCCACCAAGGCGACGAUUGGUAGCCGGACUGAGAGGUUGAACGGCCACAUUGGGACUGAGACACGGCCCAGACUCCUACGGAAGGCAGCAG
rnacentral:rRNA from 1 species